rnacentral:rRNA from 1 species
AGUGAACGCUGGCGGUAGGCCUAACACAUGCAAGUCGAACGGCAGCACAGUAAGAGCUUGCUCUUACGGGUGGCGAGUGGCGGACGGGUGAGGAAUACAUCGGAAUCUACUUUUUCGUGGGGGAUAACGUAGGGAAACUUACGCUAAUACCGCAUACGACCUACGGGUGAAAGCAGGGGAUCUUCGGACCUUGCGCGAUUGAAUGAGCUGAUGUCGGAUUAGCUAGUUGGCGGGGUAAAGGCCCACCAAGGCGACGAUCCGUAGCUGGUCUGAGAGGAUGAUCAGCCACACUGGAACUGAGACACGGUCCAGAAUCCUACGGGAGGCAGCAGUGGGGAAUAUUGGACAAUGGGCGCAAGCCUGAUCCAGCCAUACCGCGGGGGUGAAGAAGGCCUUCGGGUUGUAAAGCCCUUUUGUUGGGAAAGAAAAGCAGCAGGUUAAUACCCCGCUGUGCUGACGGUACCCAAAGAAUAAGCACCGGCUAACUUCGUG